rnacentral:rRNA from 1 species
CGCUGGCGGCGUGCUUUAACACAUGCAAGUCGAACGAGAAAGUGGAGCAAUCCAUGAGUAAAGUGGCGACCGGGUGAGUAACACGUGACUAACCUACCCUCGAGUGGGGAAUAACAUCGGGAAACCGAUGCUAAUACCGCAUAACAUCGCAAGAUCAAAGCAGCAAUGCGCUUGAGGAGGGGGUCGCGGCUGAUUAGCUAGUUGGUAGGGUAAUGGCCUACCAAGGCUUAGAUCGGUAGCCGGCCUGAGAGGGCGCACGGCCACACUGGAACUGAAACACGGUCCAGACUCCUACGGGAGGCAGCAGUGGGGAAUUUUGCGCAAUGGGGGAAACCCUGACGCAGCAACGCCGCGUGGAGGAUGAAGUCCCUUGGGACGUAAACUCCUUUCGAUCGGGAAGAUACUGACGGUACCGGAAGAAGAAGCACCGGCUAACUCUGUGCCAGCAGCCGCGGUAAUACNAGCCGAAUUCCAGCA